GAUGAACGCUAGCUACAGGCUUAACACAUGCAAGUCGAGGGGCAUCAUGAUCAAAGCUUGCUUUGAUUGAUGGCGACCGGCGCACGGGUGAGUAACGCGUAUCCAACCUUCCCCCUAGUAGGGCAUAGCCCGGCGAAAGUCGGAUUAAUACCCUAUGUUUUCCGUUGAUGGCAUCUGACAUGGAACAAAGAUUCAUCGCUAGGGGAUGGGGAUGCGUCCGAUUAGGUAGUCGGCGGGGUAACGGCCCACCGAGCCUUCGAUCGGUAGGGGUUCUGAGAGGAAGGUCCCCCACAUUGGAACUGAGACACGGUCCAAACUCCUACGGGAGGCAGCAGUGAGGAAUAUUGGUCAAUGGGCGUGAGCCUGAACCAGCCAAGUAGCGUGCAGGAUGACGGCCCUAUGGGUUGUAAACCUCUUUUGCGCGGGGAUAAAGUCACUCACGUGUGGGUGUUUGUAGGUACCGCAUGAAUAAGGACCGGCUAAUUCCGUGCCAGCAGCCGCGGUAAGAC
rnacentral:rRNA from 1 species